rnacentral:rRNA from 1 species
CGAAGGACCCGGGCGUUAUCCGGAUUUAUUGGGUUUAAAGGGUGCGUAGGCGUCCUGGAAAGUUACGGUUGAAAUCUCCUUGCUCAACAAGGAAACUGGCCGUAAAACUAUCAGGAUUGAGUACAUUUGAAGCGGGCGGAAUGUGUCAUGUAGCGGUGAAAUGCUUAGAUAUGACACAGAACACCAAUUGCGAAGGCAGCUCGCUAAACUGUAACUGACGCUGAGGCACGAAAGCGUGGGGAUCAAACAGGAUUAGAUACCCUGGUAGUCCACGCCCUAAACGAUGAUUACUCGAUGUGUGCGAUACACUGUACGCGUCUGAGCGAAAGCAUUAAGUAAUCCACCUGGGGAGUACGAUCGCAAGAUUG